rnacentral:rRNA from 1 species
CCUACGGGGGGCAGCAGUGGGGAAUAUUGGACAAUGGGCGAAAGCCUGAUCCAGCCAUGCCGCGUGUGUGAAGAAGGCCUUCGGGUUGUAAAGCACUUUCAGUGGGGAAGAAAGCCUUGGGGCUAAUACCCUCGAGGAAGGACAUCACCCACAGAAGAAGCACCGGCUAACUCCGUGCCAGCAGCCGCGGUAAUACGGAGGGUGCGAGCGUUAAUCGGAAUUACUGGGCGUAAAGCGCGCGUAGGCGGUCUGAUAAGCCGGUUGUGAAAGCCCCGGGCUCAACCUGGGAACGGCAUCCGGAACUGUCAGGCUAGAGUGCAGGAGAGGAAGGUAGAAUUCCCGGUGUAGCGGUGAAAUGCGUAGAGAUCGGGAGGAAUACCAGUGGCGAAGGCGGCCUUCUGGACUGACACUGACGCUGAGGUGCGAAAGCGUGGGUAGCAAACAGGAUUAGAUCCCCCGGUAGUC